rnacentral:rRNA from 1 species
CCUACGGGAUGCAGCAGUGGGGAAUAUUGCACAAUGGGCGCAAGCCUGAUGCAGCCAUGCCGCGUGUGUGAAGAAGGCCUUCGGGUUGUAAAGCACUUUCAGCGGGGAGGAAGGCGGUGAGGUUAAUAACCUCAUCGAUUGACGUUACCCGCAGAAGAAGCACCGGCUAACUCCGUGCCAGCAGCCGCGGUAAUACGGAGGGUGCAAGCGUUAAUCGGAAUUACUGGGCGUAAAGCGCACGCAGGCGGUCUGUCAAGUCGGAUGUGAAAUCCCCGGGCUCAACCUGGGAACUGCAUUCGAAACUGGCAGGCUAGAGUCUUGUAGAGGGGGAUAGAAUUCCAGGCGUAGCGGUGAAAUGCGUAGAGAUCUGGAGGAAUACCGGUGGCGAAGGCGGCCCCCUGGACAAAGACUGACGCUGAGGAGCGAAAGCGUGGGGAGCAAACAGGAUUAGAUACCCCCGUAGUU